UACGGGGGGGGUAAGCGUUGUUCGGAAUUACUGGGCGUAAAGGGCUCGUAGGCGGCCAACUAAGUCAGACGUCAAAUCCCUCAGCUUAACUGGGGAACUGCGUCUGAUACUGGAUGGCUUGGAUCCGGGAGAGGGAUGCGGAAUUCCAGGUGUAGCGGUGAAAUGCGUAGAUAUCUGGAGGAACACCGGUGGCGAAGGCGGCAUCCUGGACCGGUAUUGACGCUGAGGAGCGAAAGCCAGGGGAGCAAACGGG
rnacentral:rRNA from 1 species